GUGUAUGUGAAAGCGCUAUAAUGCAGUCGAGCGGACAGAAGGGAGCUUGCUCCCGGAUGUUAGCGGCGGACGGGUGAGUAACACGUGGGUAACCUGCCUGUAAGACUGGGAUAACUCCGGGAAACCGGAGCUAAUACCGGAUAGUUCCUUGAACCGCAUGGUUCAAGGAUGAAAGACGGUUUCGGCUGUCACUUACAGAUGGACCCGCGGCGCAUUAGCUAGUUGGUGAGGUAACGGCUCACCAAGGCGACGAUGCGUAGCCGACCUGAGAGGGUGAUCGGCCACACUGGGACUGAGACACGGCCCAGACUCCUACGGGAGGCAGCAGUAGGGAAUCUUCCGCAAUGGACGAAAGUCUGACGGAGCAACGCCGCGUGAGUGAUGAAGGUUUUCGGAUCGUAAAGCUCUGUUGUUAGGGAAGAACAAGUGCAAGAGUAACUGCUUGCACCUUGACGGUACCUAACCAGAAAGCCACGGCUAACUACGUGCCAGCAGCCGCGGUAAUACGUAGGUGGCAAGCGUUGUCCGGAAUUAUUGGGCGUAAAGGGCUCGCACGCGGUUUCUUAAGUCUGAUGUGAAAGCCCCCGGCUCAACCGGGGAGGGUCAUUGGAAACUGGGAAACUUGAGUGCAGAAGAGGAGAGUGGAAUUCCACGUGUAGCGGUGAAAUGCGUAGAGAUGUGGAGGAACACCAGUGGCGAAGCGACUCUCUGGUCUGUAACUGACGCUGAGAGCGAAAGCGUGGGGAGCGAACAGGAUUAGAUACCCUGGUAGUCCACGCCGUAACGAUGAGUGCUAAGUGUUAGGGGGUUUCCGCCCCUUACUGCUGCAGCUAACGCAUUAAGCACUCCGCCUGGGGAGUACGGUCGCAGACUGAACUCAACCAUUGACGGGGCCGCCCAAGCGUGAGCAUGUGGUUAUUCGAGCACCGCGAGACUUACCAGUCUUGACA
rnacentral:rRNA from 1 species